AUGAGUGCCCUAUGCUAGAACUGUCGCGGCGCAGGCAAACCCGUGGCAGCCCGAGAACUUCGCAAAUUUGCGAGGAAGUUUCCCCCUACCCUACUGUGUAUUGCGGAGACACAAAUAGAAGGUUCUAGGGUAGAAGCUUUAGCUAGCUCUAUUGGUUUUGAUAAUGCUUAUGCAGUAGACAGUCAAGGUCGGAGUGGUAGUAUUGGGUUGUUCUGGAACAAUGAAAUGAAGAUUGAAAUUCUUGGUUAUUCUGUUUACCACCUUGAUGUAUCAAUAGAGGAGCAGGGUGAAGAUGAGUGGAGACUAACGUGUGUUUAUGGAGAGGCAUAG
rnacentral:rRNA from 1 species